GACGAACGCUGGCGGCGUGCUUGACACAUGCAAGUCGAACGGAAAGGCCUGCUUUCCCUUGUGGAUUGCGGGUACUCGAGUGGCGAACGGGUGAGUAACACGUGAGUGAUCUGCCCCCAACUUGGGUAUAAGCCUGGGAAACUGGGUCUAAUUCCCGAUAGGACUGCAGGGUGGUGCCUGUGGUGGAAAACGAUUUUCUAGUGGUUGGGGAUGAGCUCGCGGCCUAUCAGCUUGUUGGUGGGGUAAUGGCCUACCAAGGCGGCGACGGGUAGCCGGACUGGGAGGGUUGACGGCCGCAUUGAGACUGAGAUACGGCCCAGACUCCUACGGGAGGCAGCGGUGGGGAAUAUUGGACAAUGGGCGGAAGCCUGAUGCAGCGACGCCGCGUGGAGGAUGACGGCCUUCGGGAUGUAAACACCUUUGGAGCGCGAGGAGGCCGCCUGGUUGGAAGGGUGGUGACGGUAGUGGUAGAAGAAGCACCGGCUAACUACGUG
rnacentral:rRNA from 1 species